CUUCUGUGCGCAGCCGCCCCUAUCUCUUCCACUCGCCCCCUUGAAACGGCAGCCACAAAUGCACAUAAAAAACGCAGCAUUUAUCGCCUCUCAUUUCCUCCCCAUCACCUUGCAAGUGCGGAAUAAAGUGCUAAAUUUAACUGGGCAGCGGCUGCCUUCGUCUUUAAAAGGAUGCCUGCACUGCCAUCAUCGUCGACCUGUCCGCGUCCUACUCUCGGAACCGGCCUGGCGGCCUCCACUCUGGCUCUCCUCUUUAGAAAAGUUCAUUGCUUCAGUAGUCCAGCCAGUGAACACAUGGACAACAAAUCAAAUACAUAUGAUAGGAAGUAAGCAAGGAAAGAUCAGAAGAUAUUUUUCGCAGUCCAUUGUACAAACCACACACUCGAAGAUUGUGCCCUUUGGGUAAAAAAAAGAUUAUGCUUUCAAGUGUUACUUGGCUAGGUUGAUGUUUCAUAUAAUCCAUCACUUGGGGUUUCUAUGUAUGAAUCUGUGAGUAUUGUAUCAUAUUGUGACAAGAGGUAUUCAUCCAUAACAAACAAGUACUCAGGGUCUAUCAUGCUUAAACUUUC